AUUGAACGCUGGCGGCGUGCCUAACACAUGCAAGUCGAGCGGUAACAGGUGUAGCAAUACAUGCUGACGAGCGGCGGACGGGUGAGUAACGCUUGGGAAUCUGCCUGUUAGUGGGGGACAACCCGGGGAAACUCGGGCUAAUACCGCAUACGCACUACGGUGGAAAGCCGGGGACCGCAAGGCCUGGCGCUAACAGAUGAGCCCAAGUCGGAUUAGCUAGUUGGUAGGGUAACGGCCUACCAAGGCGACGAUCCGUAACUGGGUCUGAGAGGACGACCAGUCACACC
rnacentral:rRNA from 1 species